CCAAUUUGAUGUGGAGUUGAGGUUCCAGAGGAACUGCUCUUUCCAUCGCUGCUUUCACCUUUGUUUUUCGCCAUUGCUUCUUUAGCCCUGGACACUGCACAAGCAACAGUCUUGACAAUGCUCUCAAAAAUAUGAGCCUUGACUCUCCCUCU